GAUUUGGGUAAAAGUGCAUUCGGG
rnacentral:siRNA from 1 species